GUUGCCCAGAGAUGGUCACCCAAGAGGGGGGGUGAAUUGGGUGUUUUAAAACUUUUUGUCUAAUUAAACAAAACACACAAGUGUAUGUGCAAAAGUAAAAUUAAAGUUGUAAGCACAGUCAAUCGCAAACGUAAAGGUUUAUAGUGGUUCGGAGCUUCCACUGCUCCAACAUCCACUCCCCAAACACCUUUGGGAAUUUUCCUAUAAUCAGCGAUUACAGUCCGGUAGUUUUUCGAGUGAACUACCCAACUCGUUGUUUUACCCCGGGCUAACAACGAACCCUACAAUCCCCCAAUUUAACCUAGGCUUG
rnacentral:lncRNA from 1 species